GUUGUCAUGUACUUGGUUCUUCUCUCACUGACCUUGAGACCGAACUCAGCACCCCUAUCUUCAAUUUUCGUGAAAUUCUCUUUAACGAUGUCAAUGUUCCGUCCAAUUAAAUUAAUAUUGUAUU